rnacentral:rRNA from 1 species
GAUGAACGCUGGCGGCGUGCCUAAUACAUGCAAGUCGAGCGAACGGACGAGAAGCUUGCUUCUCUGAUGUUAGCGGCGGACGGGUGAGUAACACGUGGAUAACCUACCUAUAAGACUGGGAUAACUUCGGGAAACCGGAGCUAAUACCGGAUGAUAUUUUGAACCGCAUGGUUCAAAAGUGAAAGACGGUCUUGCUGUCACUUUUAUAGGGUUCCGCGCUGCAUUAGCUAGUUGGUAAGGUAACGGCUUACAAAGGCAACGAUGCAUAGCCGACCUGAGAGGGUGAUCGGCCACACUGGAACUGAGACACGGUCCAGACUCCUACGGGAGGCAGCAGUAGGGAAUCUUCCGCAAUGGGCGAAAGCCUGACGGAGCAACGCCGCGUGAGUGAUGAAGGUCUUCGGAUCGUAAAACUCUGUUAUUAGGGAAGAACAUAUGUGUAAGUAACUGUGCACAUCUUGACGGUACCUAAUCAGAAAGCCACGGCUAACUACGUG